rnacentral:rRNA from 1 species
GACGAACGCUGGCGUUAUGCUUAACACAUGCAAGUCGUACGAGAUGGAAUUUAAAAUGCUCUCGGGUAUAUUGAAUUUUAUCCUAGUCGCGCACGGGUGCGUCACGCGUAAGCACUUACCCUUUUGGAGUGGGAUAACAGCUGGAAACGGCUGCUAAUACCGCAUAGUGCUGAGACGCUAAAAGUGAAAACUGCCAAGAGAGACGCUUGCGUCUGAUUAGCUAGUUGGUGGAGGUAAAGGCUCCCCAAGGCGACGAUCAGUAGCUGGUCUGAGAGGAUGAUCAGCCACACUGGGACUGAGACACGGCCCCAGACUCCUACGGGAGGCAGCAGUGAGGAAUUUUCCACAAUGGGCGAAAGCCUGAUGGAGCAAUACCGCGUGGAGGAAGACGGAUCGUGUCUGUAACUCCUCUCUUAGAAGCAACCGACGUACUAAGAAU